UGAAUACGAGACGCUAAGGCGUCGAAGUAGUGUAUAUCAGACUUCCAAGAAAAGCUUGCACUGUCAUAGAUAAAAAAUGCCUGUACCAUAACCGACACAGGUGGGUAGGUAGAGUAUACUAAGGGGCGCGAGAUAACUCUCUCUAAGGAACUCGGCAAAAUAACUCCGUAACUUCGGGAGAAGGAGUGCCUUAUUUAUAAGGUUGCAAUAACAAGAUCCAAGCAACUGUUUAUCAAAAACACAGGUCUCCGCUAAGUCGUAAGACGAUGUAUGGGGGCUGACGCCUGCCCAGUGCCAGAAGGUUAAAGAAGUUGGUUAGCAAUUGCGAAGCUGAUAACUGAAGCCCUGGUGAACGGCGGCCGUAACUAUAACGGUCCUAAGGUAGCGAAAUUCCUUGUCGGGUAAGUUCCGACCCGCACGAAAGGCGUAAUGAUUUGGAUACUGUCUCGGAGAGGGGCUCGGUGAAAUAGACUUGUCUGUGAAGAUGCGGACUACCUGCACCAGGACAGAAAGACCCUAUGAAGCUUUACUGUAACUUGAAAUUGAAAUUGGUCUUUAUUCGCGCAGCAUAGGUGGGAGGCGUUGAUUAUAAUCUUGCGGGAUUAUUGGAGCCAUCAGUGAGAUACCACUCUUGUAAUGUUAGAUUUCUAACUUUGAAUCAUUAUCUGGUCAAAGAACAGUUUCAGGCGGGCAGUUUGACUGGGGCGGUCGCCUCCUAAAUGGUAACGGAGGCGUACAAAGGUUUCCUCUGAACGGUUAGAAAUCGUAUCUAGAGUGUAAAGGCAUAAGGAAGCUUGACUGUGAGACCUACAAGUCGAGCAGGGACGAAAGUCGGUCUUAGUGAUCUGACGGUACUGAGUGGAAAGGCCGUCACUCAACGGAUAAAAGUUACUCUAGGAUAACAGGCUGAUCUCCCCCAAGAGUUCACAUCGACGGGGAGGUUUGGCACCUCGAUGUCGGCUCAUCGCAUCCUGGGGCGGUAGUACGUCCCAAGGGUUGGGCUGUUCGCCCAUGAAAGCGGUACGCGAGCUGGGUUCAGAACGUCGUGAGACAGUUCGGUCCAUAUCCGGUGUAGGCGUUAGAAUAUUGAGAGGAGCCUUCUUUAGUACGAGAGGACCGAGAAGGACAUACCUCUGGUGUACCAGUUAUCGUGCCAACGGUAAACGCUGGGUAGCUAUGUAUGGAGUGGAUAACCGCUGAAAGCAUCUAAGUGGGAAGCCCACCUCAAGAUAAGUAUUCU
rnacentral:rRNA from 1 species